AGCUCCAAUAGCGUAUAUUAAAGUUGUUGCAGUUAAAAAGCUCGUAGUUGGAUUUCACGUUUAAGGCUAAGACCGGGUACCUUACGGUGCUCUGAGUCCCAAUCCUUUACGUUCCUAGCCCGGAUACUUUCUGGCGUUCUUGAUUGGGCGCCGGGGGGUGUUUGGGACCUUUUACUGUGAAAAAAUUAGAGUGUACAAUGCAGGCAAUCGCUAUUGAAUACAUUAGCAUGGAAUAAUAAUCUAGGACUUCGGUCUUGUUUGUUGGUUUCCUGGGAUUGAAGUAAUGAUUGGCAGGGAUAGUUGGGGGUGCUCGUAUUGAGUGGCCAGAGGUGAAAUUCUUGGAUUCACUCAAGACGGACAACAGCGAAAGCAUUCACCAAGGAUGUCUUCU
rnacentral:rRNA from 1 species